GUUGUGGGCAUGUGCCUUCCUCGGCCUGCGUAUGAGGUUUCCUAAAGGAACAGCUCCCUGACACAGACUUGGAGUGGAGACUUGGCUUUUUUACUGAAUCCUCAAGGAGGGGAAGAAAUUGUCUUCUACUUAUGUCAGAACUUGCAUCUUCCUACUGGACCUGGGGGUGAAGUGGAACACACAGGUCCCCCCUCGUGCUCCUGGUGGAGCAGAGCAGACCACGCUGAGAAGGCCGAGGCCCCGCAGAGUGACCGAGCGCCCAGAGGCAGACGUGCAGACACCUGUGGCCCGGAGAGGGGUCCAGGGAACAGGAUGAGGGAGGGCGAGGCCAGAGCUCAGACCCUGCAGCAGGACGUUCACAGGGACCAGGGUCUGUAGCCACUGCUGCCCUGGCCAAACUGAGGGGGUGGGGGACGGCUGGCCAGGAACGUAGCGCGACAAGGCUCUGGCGUUUGGGUCCCACAGACCCCUCUGCCUCCCUUACACUGUCUAGGAGACGAGCCCCCCAUCCUGUUCUCUGCAGCUUCCCACCGCCCCAAAUCGUGCUCGCCUAAGACGUAACAUGAACGACAGUCUCAGUUAGACUUGCCUGUCCCCAUCUGGGCUGGGAGUGGCGGGGAGAAUUGCACAGAGCUGUUGUGGGAAGAGCCGGGCAGACGGGUGUGGGGGCCAGGUUACCCCUGUGCUGUAGAUGCCGGCUGGGGGAGGGAGCCAGGACGGCGACUCCGUCAUGCACAGCCUGAGCCAAGCCCAGGGGUUUGUCCAGGUCAGGUGGAUGCCCAGUAGGGUAGGUGGGUGCCCAGUGUGCGUGCUGAUGUGUGUGGCAUGUCUGUGCUCGUCUGUGCUGUGUCUGAGGUGUGUGUGUGUGUGUGUGCACCAGCAAGUGGCCUUGUGUGUCCUGGUGAGUGGCCCUGUGUGUGGGAGUGAGUGGCCUUCUGUGUGGUGAGUGGCCUUGUGGGGAUGAGUGGCCUUGUGUGUGUGACGAGUGGCCUUUUGGGGAUGAAUGGCCUUAUAUGGGGUGAGUGGCCUUGUGUGUCUCAGCGAGUGGCCUUGUGUUUAUGGCGAGUGGCCUUGGGUUUGUGGUGAGUGACCUUGUGUGUGUGGUAAGUGGCCCUGUGUGUGUGGCGAGUGGCCUUGUGGGGGUGAGUGGAUUUGUGGGAGUGAGUGGCCUUGUGUGUGUGGUGAAUGGCCUUGUGUAUGUGGUGAGUGGCCAUGUGUGUGUGGUGAGUGGCCGUGUGUGUGGCGAGUGACCCUGUGUGUGUGGCGAGUGGCCUUGUGGGGGUAAGUGGCCUUGUGUGUGUGGCGAGUGGCCCUGUGUGUGUGGCGAGUGGCCUUGUGUGUGUGGCGAGUGGCCCUGUGUGUAUGUUUGGUGAGUGGCCCGGUGUGUGUGCUGGCGAGUGGCCCUGUGUGUGUGUGUGUGAGGCGAGUGGCCCUGUGUGUGUGUGUGUGUGUGUGUGUGGUUGUGCAUUUACAAGGCAUCUGGGGGCAGCAGGACGACUCUGUGGAAGGCUGGA
rnacentral:lncRNA from 1 species